AAGAAAAUCCCAAACCCCAAAUACGAGACUUAAAAUCCCCCGCAAAUCUGGAGGAAGCACAGCGCAAAACAAGAGCAUAGAGAGAGAUGGGGAGAAAGAAGGGAGUGCUAGAGUUCGAAGAAACCGGGCCAGAUGACUUCGACCCGGCCAACCCCUACCAAGACCCAGUUGCCAUGCUGGAAAUGAGGGAGCAUAUAGUUCGAGAGAAAUGGAUAGACAUUGAGAAGGCGAAGAUCUUACGAGACAAAGUCAGGUGGUGUUACCGCAUCGAAGGAGUCAACCAUCUCCAGAAGUGCCGCCACCUCGUUAGCCAGUACCUUGACGCCACCCGCGGCAUUGGUUGGGGCAAGGAUGGCCGCCAUCCGUCCCUCCACGGUCCGAAGGUUGAGGAGGUUGAGUCAGAAUGAGUGGCUGCAUUCAGCUAAGGAAGGGACCUUGAGUUGCUACGCGAUUCGGCUUUCCGGGUGAUGGUUCCAUACUCACAUGGUAAAUGAAUUUUGUGGAGCUGAUAGAAAGAGCCAAAUUUGGUGGUAAUAAAAAGUUUUGUUGCCAGUAUUGCGGUGCUGUGAGAGCAGGAUCAUACACAAAAGUGAAAGCUCACUUAUUGAAGAUUGCUAAUCAAGGCAUUGAAUAGUGUAAAUUUGUUAUUGAUGAAAUACUUCAAGAGCAUAGAAGAGAGCCUGCAGCUGUUGAACGGAAGAAAGCAAACAUAGUUAUACAAUCAAAACAGAAAACAUAUUACAUGUCACUUCCCCAAGGUCUGAUCUAGUUCAGCCUAAAAAAAGGAGCUUUGGAGUUGUCUUUCACCGCAACAGACAAAGAUAGAGUAGAUAAGGAGUGUGCCCGAGCAUUUUACACUAUUGCCAUACCUUUUAAUUUCGUAAGAAAUCCUUGGCUUUGAAGUUGGGUUCUAAAGUUAACAACUACAAAUUUUGCCGAUUAUGUACCUCCUACAUUUGAUCGACUUCAGAUGACAUUAUUAACUCAAGAAAGGACACAUGUUGAUAGGCUUCUUUUACUUAUACGAGACACAUGGAGAAAGAGGGGAACUUUUAUAUGUUUAGAUGGGUGGUCUGAUCUUCAACAAAGGCCUCUAAUUAACAUAAUGGCAGCUUCUUUGAGUGGUUCAAUGUUUAUCAUGGUUGUUGAUUCAAAUGACAAAACUAAAGAUGUUGAAUAUAUAGCAAGCUUGUUCAUUGAGGGCAUUGAAGAAAUCAGAGUAGAAAAUAUCGUGCAACUCUUAUCAGAUAAUGCAUCCAAUUUCAAAAUGCAGGUGCGUUGAUUGAAUCAAAGUUUUCUCAUAUUUUUUGGGCUCAUGUUGUUCAUUGCUUGAACAUGGCAUUAAAUGCUAUUUGUGAGCCUUUUGAUAAAUCAUCUCAUUAUUUGGAAUGUAAAUGGGUGAAAGAUUUGGUGGUUGAGGUGCAUAAAGUGAACUGCUUUAUCCUAAAUCAUAACUUGUCAGGAUUUAUUUUCAAUAGAUAUUCAAAUGUGAAAUUAUUGAAGGUCGUCGAGACUAGGUUUGCUUCUAACAUUAUCGUGGUUGAGUAUUUGAUGAAAGUGAAAGAAGCUUUGGAAAAAACGAUGACGGACCUAGAAUGGAAAGAGUUUAAGGUUAAUGGAAAAAGCCUUGUUGAACUGAAUGUAAUGAAGAUUAGAGAUUUAUUACUUAGUGAAACAUGGUGGGACAAAAUUGAUUUUUUGUUAAAGUUCACAUAGCCUAUGAUUGAUUUUUUGAGGGAAGCUGAUAAAGAUGGAGCUAUAUUGCAUCUAAUCUAUGACAAGUCGGACUCAAUGAUAGAAAAAAUUAAGGAAAUAAUUUUUUACCGUGAGGACCAAGACUUGAUAAUUGGGCAUUCAAAAUUUUUUGAUGCAAUCCAAAAAUUUCUUGAGAAGAGGUUAUUAGAUGUAAACACCUAUUCCCUACAUGACUCACUCGCUAGUUCCUAAAAUUAUACUACAAAAUGGCUUCAAGUGGGAAGUAGUGGCUUUCCAAGAAAAGCUCCAAAUGAAGACGAAGAAGUCACAUUGCUUAGAGAUAAAUGUUUUUGAGAGUUCUUCACUGAUGAAGUUGAUAUUCGAAAGGUGUGCUCUAAAUAUGGUGUCCUUUCUUGUGGGCUGGGUUACUUCAGUUAACCUCAUGUCAUUCCAACGAGAGGGUAUGGAGACCUUUUGUCUUGGUGCGCUAACAAUGGUGCAACCACAACCUUGCUUCAAGGCCUUGCUUUUAGGCUUCUUUCUCAACCUGCAUUUUCUUCUUAUUGUGAAAGAAAUUGGGGUACUUCUUCCUUGAUACAAACGGUCAAGAGGAACAAAUUGUUAUCAUCUACCCUUGAAGAUUUGGUUUUUGUACAUUCAAAUCUUCGUUUUCUGUUGGUACAAAAUAGGUCCAAUUUCAUUUUGGGAUAUAGGAAUGCAAAUCAUUUUUAUAAUUAAUUAUAUUUAAGCAAAUUAUUAAACUAUUAUUACUAGGUGGAGAUAAUAUGAAGAGAAUUUGCUCGAAGUUGUAGAUCUUUCAUUGAAUGAUCCUAAAAUAGAAAUUGUAGCUUUCAACUUAGUAGGGAAGAAAGAAACGACGAUGACUGUGGCAAGUGAGUUGAAUAAUUUUGAAGACUUGUAUAUUUUUAUUAGCUUAAAAUUUUAGUUUAUUAUAUUUUUUUUACUUUUACCAAAUGUGUUAUGCUAUUAUGAUACAUUAAAUCUUUUGGGUUUUGGUAUUUCAAACUUUGAUCAUAUUAAAAUGUUUAAAUUUAAAUGUUAUUAAAGUAUAUUUUUUAAA